rnacentral:sRNA from 1 species
AUUAUAGAUGGUAUAUAUUUUUAAUACCAAGUGUCUGGUAGCUCAAUUGGUAAAGAUCAUAGAUGAAGUUUAGAGGUCGCCGGUUCGAGUGACGCUUGGAACGAAACUAAGGGGGUGUUAUUAGUUAAUGAAUUUUAAUAGAAUUAAAAUCCAACACUAAUCAACUGUUAUUCAACUAAUGAUUCUAAAUCCAGUUUUAAAAUCUAGUGUUAUUGGAACUCAUCUUUGUAAUCAUGCUUAAUAGAUUUUA